GACGAACGCUGGCGGCGUGCUUAACACAUGCAAGUCGAACGGAAAGGCCCUGCUUUUGUGGGGUGCUCGAGUGGCGAACGGGGGAGUAACACGUGAGUAACCUGCCCUAGACUUUGGGAUAACUUCAGGAAACUGGGGCUAAUACCGGAUAGGAGCUCCUGCUGCAUGGAGGGGGUGGGAAAGUUUCGGCGGGUGGGGAUGGACGCGCGGCUUAUCAGCUUGUUGGUGGGGUAGUGGCUUACCAAGGCUUUGACGGGUAGCCGGCCGGAGAGGGUGACCGGCCACCUUGGGCCUGCGAUACGGCCCAGACUCCUACGUGGGGCAGCAGUGGGGAAUCUUGCACAAUGGGCGGAAGCCUGAUGCAGCAACGCCGCGUGCGGGAUGACGGCCUUCGGGUUGUAAACCGCUUUCGCCUGUGACGAAGCGUGAGUGACGGUACUGGGUAAAGAAGCACCGGCUAACUACGUG
rnacentral:rRNA from 1 species